rnacentral:rRNA from 1 species
GCGGCAGGCCUAACACAUGCAAGUCGAGCGCACCUUCGGGUGAGCGGCGGACGGGUUAGUAACGCGUGGGAACGUACCCUUUUCUACGGAAUAGCCUUUGGAAACGAAGAGUAAUACCGUAUACGCCCUUUGGGGGAAAGAUUUAUCGGAGAAGGAUCGGCCCGCGUUAGAUUAGAUAGUUGGUGGGGUAACGGCCUACCAAGUCUACGAUCUAUAGCUGGUUUUAGAGGAUGAUCAGCAACACUGGGACUGAGACACGGCCCAGACUCCUACGGGAGGCAGCAGUGGGGAAUCUUAGACAAUGGGCGCAAGCCUGAUCUAGCCAUGCCGCGUGAGUGAUGAAGGCCUUAGGGUCGUAAAGCUCUUUCGCCUGUGAUGAUAAUGACAGUAGCAGGUAAAGAAACCCCGGCUAACUCCGUGCCAGCAGCCGCGGUAAUACGGAGGGGGUUAGCGUUGUUCGGAAUUACUGGGCGUAAAGCGCACGUAGGCGGAUUGGAAAGUUGGGGGUGAAAUCCCGGGGCUCAACCCCGGAACUGCCUCCAAAACUAUCAGUCUAGAGUUCGAGAGAGGUGAGUGGAAUUCCAAGUGUAGAGGUGAAAUUCGUAGAUAUUUGGAGGAACACCAGUGGCGAAGGCGGCUCACUGGCUCGAUACUGACGCUGA